GCGGGUGUCGUAUAACGGCUAUUAUGUGACCUUCCCAAGGUUGAGACGAGGGUUCGACUCCCUCCACCCGCACCA
rnacentral:tRNA from 3 species